GACGAACGCUGGCGGCGUGCUUAACACAUGCAAGUCGAACGGAAAGGCCCUGCUUUUGUGGGGUGCUCGAGUGGCGAACGGGUGAGUAACACGUGAGUAACCUGCCCUUGACUUUGGGAUAACUUCAGGAAACUGGGGCUAAUACCGGAUAGGAGCUCCUGCUGCAUGGUGGGGGUUGGAAAGUUUCGGCGGUUGGGGAUGGACUCGCGGCUUAUCAGCUUGUUGGUGGGGUAGUGGCUUACCAAGGCUUUGACGGGUAGCCGGCCUGAGGGGGUGACCGGCCACAUUGGGACUGAGAUACGGCCCAGACUCCUACGGGAGGCAGCAGUGGGGAAUAUUGCACAAUGGGCGGAAGCCUGAUGCAGCAACGCCGCGUGCGGGAGGACGGCCUUCGGGUGGUAAACCGCUUUCGCCUGUGACGAAGCGUGAGUGACGGUAAUGGGUAAAGAAGCACCGGCUAACUACGU
rnacentral:rRNA from 1 species